CCUGCGGUUUAAUCGGACUCAACGCCGGGAAGCUCACCGGAUAAGACAGCGGAAUGAUACCGGGCUGAAGACUCUGCUUGACUAGCUGAGAGGAGGUGCAUGGCCGUCGUCAGUUCGUACUGUGAAGCAUCCUGUUAAGUCAGGCAACGAGCGAGACCCACGCCAACAGUUGCCAGCAUGUCCUCCGGGAUGGUGGGGACACUGUUGGGACCGCCUCUGCUAAAGAGGAGGAAGGAAUGGGCAACGGUAGGUCAGCAUGCCCCGAAUUAUCCGGGCUACACGCGGGCCACAAUGGUCAGGACAAUGGGCAUCAACACCGAAAGGUGAAGGCAAUCUCUUAAACCUGUCCUUAGUUCGGAUUGUGGGCUGCAACUCGCCCACAUGAAGCUGGAAUCUGUAGUAAUCGCGUCUCAAAAUGGCGCGGUGAAUAUGUCCCUGCUCCUU
rnacentral:rRNA from 1 species